GAUUAACGCUGGCGGCGUGCCUAACACAUGCAAGUCGAACGAUUAAACUUAGUAUACUUCUUCGGAAAGACAUUAAGCGGUGUAUUGGCGAACGGGUUAUUAACGCGUGAGUAACCUGCCUUACACAAGGGGAUAGCCUUUGGGCACGAAGAAUAAUACCCUAUAAAACGAUACAAGCACAUGCUAGAACGGUCAAAGUGCUAGCGGUGUAAGAUGGACUUGCGUCUGAUUAGCUAGUUGGUGAGAUAAAAGCUCACCAAGGCAACGAUCAGUAGCCGGCUUGAGAGAGUGUACGGACACAUUGGGAAUGAGACACGGCCCAGACUCCUACGGGAGGCAGAAGUGGGGAACUGUGCACAAUGGGGGAAGACCUGAUGCAGCGGCGCCGAGUGAUUUAGAAGGCGUUAGGGUUGUAAAAAUCUUUUGUAUAGGAAGAAAAUGACAGUACUAUACGAAUAAGGUCGGGCAAAUUACGU
rnacentral:rRNA from 1 species